GCUUCGUGUUCCCUUUCGUCUCGAGGGGAUGGGCAGGAAGUUGGGUUGUGUGAUACUGACAGGUUGGGUCAAACUGGGCUGCUUAGUGGGGCCCUGGAAGAACAUCUUAUAUGGGCCGGCUCGUGCAAUGAGAAAAUGGGCUUACUUGUGGCCGGUGGCUUCUCGAACGGUGAGGACAAUGGAGGGGCCAUGGGGGGAGCGACUGCGGCGGAGCCGGAGGUGGCGGCGGCGGAAUACUCAGCCGCCCGGCCGCUCCGCAUUACAUCCGGCGAACCGAAGUACUGGGUAUUUCGAGGGAUGCAGAAGGGAACAUCCGCAAGACCGAACCUGGAGGUGACGACCUGCAUCCCCUUUUCUAUUGAGUAGCGAUUCUUGCACAUGUAAUAAAAAAUAUCAGAAAAUAGUUUAUCUCCCGUCUGUAGUUCAAAGAUCACAGACUAGUCUCUUCUCUUCUUCGGAGUUGGUAGUAGCUUUUUUGGUAGGUCUUGCCAUUGAGUGAGUUUGCGGGACAGCGGGAGACUUCGUCGGAGUCUUGGCAGGGGACAUAGCAGUUUUGACUCCUUGUGAUCGGUCCAGGACUAGAGGGAGCUAUACUUUGCGCUGGGUAAUUGACCCACGGCAACCAAACUCAACUAGUACAACAUUUACUAGGAUUUUCCCUGGUACCAGUACUGAACGAAGCAAGAGUUAUUGCAGGCAUAGUGCUCAUCCAGUGCAUGAUCUGGAGUUCAAGACAGUAAGGAUGCCGCACACUUUACGCUGCGAUGAGCUAUCUGUCCACCACAAUAUCGGGGGAGGAUUUGUUGUGAAUAAGGUGGUCAUGAGACUACUGCCGAGAAGAUCGGCAUUAGAAGAGAUGAAGUGAUAGAUCUGAUGGCAUCAAACCUUUGUACAACUUUACCUGAGGUACCUAAGUCAAAAAAAACUUAACCUGACGUACAAAUCUUUUAGCUUUGUAGGAUCAGUUAGUUUAGAUAUACUUGUAGUGCAGCUUGAAGACGGAUAGACCAGCUUCUUGAUCUUAGUUGGCAGUUUCUGGAAAAGAAACUUGAUCCGACUGUUGUCUCGAGGUAUGUGUAAGUUGUAUGCAACAACAGGAUUUAUAGUUUGCAAUUUUAUGAUUAAAAGUAAUCUUCACUUUGUUUACGAGUGCUUUGAUUUGUUCCUCGUAGAUUCAAGUCCACGAUCUCCAUGCAAGAAGAAGCGUGCUUGCCAUUUUGGCGAUGACAUUCAAUGUGGCUCAAUACAACUGAAAGGAGUUCAUGCAAGGGAAUUCACCAGAAGGGGUGGUCGAAUUCGGUCUUGCUAUUCCACCACCAUCUCCUAAAAAUUAUGAACACAAUUAAGGCAAGUUAGUCAGACAAGUGAAUGCCCAACCGUCUAAGCAUAAACAAAUUCAUUUCUUAAGUAUAACUAAUAAGCAUAUUGCAAUGUAUGUGGAUCAAUUGUGCAUGUGGUUCGAAAGUCACGAGAGACAAUUCUGUUGCAAGGAUAAUUCAAGGUACUUCACCAGAAGGGACGGGCGAAUUUGCUCCAGGCAAUGGUCUUGCUAUUCCACCCCCGUCUCCUAAAAGUAUAGACAAUGUUAGUCAAUUGUGUUGGGUAUGUUUGUGUAAAAUAAAAGUAACAUGAUAUCUUACCUAGUUUUUCUUUGACGCGAAUAUGAAAGUGUGUGUAGUUAAGAGAUUCGAUACGUUUAUUUUGAUGAUUAAUAUUAUGCACUCACCAGAAGGGACCGGCGAAUUCACUGGUCUCGCUAUUCCACCGCCAUCUCCUGAUUAACAGAUAGUGUAGACAGUUCACCAGAAGGGAUGGACGAGUUCACUCCCGGCAGCGGUCUUGCUAUUCCACCGCCAUCUCCUGGAAAAUUGUAGAGACAUGUUAGCCAAGACAACCAUUGAUUAAUGCCGUUAUAAGAAGCAUAUCGAUGUUUCUUUUGUAGGGAUUAGUGGUUAAUUAAGGUACUUCACCAGAAGGGAUGGGCGAGCGGGACGUCGUGGUUGAACGGAGGGAGGAGCUGCCGAGGCGAGGAGCAAGAAGCAGCAGCAGCAGCAGCAGGCACAAGUGCACAGAGGGAUUAAUGGCUGAAGCUGACGCCAUUGCUUAAUUUGCUUGUAUUAUGCCACACACGGUACAUCGUACAGAUAUUUAUACAUGGUUCCCUAGUUAGCUAGCAUGGACUUUUCUGAUUUGAGAAAAUGAUGCAUUGGGCAUAUUCGA